CUUUUUCACCCCGAAUGAUUCACACAUUGCUCGGAAUUCGCUGGGCGCACGAUGUGGUUAAUUUAAACACUGCGGCGGCAGGCAAACCUGAGCGGCAUCUCAAUGCGCACAGACCUUAUUUUUAACAAGACAUACUUUGGCACUUGCAAGAACAUUUAAAAAUACCUUCUCCAUUCCGAGGCAGCAGUGUGCUGUCCAGGGGGAGGAAUCCUCAGUUUGAGGUCACUGCUUUCCCUGAGACCUGGACUUGGAAUGUGUUGAUCAGAGCUAUUGCAGAGGCUGCCGUGAGCUUCCAGAGCCAGGAAGUAAACAGAUUGCAGGCCCAAUCCAUCACUCUGGAGACCCACUCAAAGUCUUUUCAUCAUCCAAGGUUGGCCUCCAUGCCUCGAGCUUCAGGGCACCUGCCCCACUUCUACAGUGCCAGCUCUUAGACUUCAUCACUCAUCCCAGGCAUGCCAUGUGUCUGAUCAUGUCCUGACGGUCCCUCUGCAUCCCCAAGGUACUACCCAUCCGGUGGUCUCAGUACAUUCCUUGACUAAAUCGAAGAGACCAGAUGAGUAAGAUAAUGAGAACGAUCUGAAGAAAGGUUUCCUGACAGCAUAAUAAAGGAUGAGCUGGAGGAAAACCAACAGCCUCCCCAUCCAUCAUCACUCCAGGACCAAGCUUCUCGUGUUCUGAGCCCUGCUCAGGGCUGGUGAGGCCCCCUGCCUACUCCUCCUCCUGAACUAAUCGACAGCCAGACAACAUGCACCUUGCACAAUAGCACCAGGCACGAAGCACCCUCCUGCACAAUAUCAGAGGCCCAGCAGGAUGUGGUUAAUUGCCAGAUGUGAGCUCUCUGUUGCUGCUCCAGCACCGUAUCUGCCUUCCUGCUGCCAUGCUCCCUGCCAUGAUGACCACGGACUCUAACCCUCUGAAACUGUUAGUGCUGCUGUCAGCCUGGGUCAGGGAAGCUUCAUUUUGCAGCAGGAGUGGCAACUACAGAGACUGUCAAAAUAGAAGAGUAAGUGACUGUUGAGUUCUUGACCAUCAACCCCUCCAAGGCUCAGGGGACAUCACAGAAGCUGGACAGAAGGAAUGUAAGGGCCAGAGGACAAGGAAGAAUGGAACUUUAGGCCCAGGGGAUCUGACUCUCUCCUGGCCUCCAUGGGCACUGCGCUCAAGUUGUGCACACACAUACAGGCAAAACACCUUUAUACAUAAAAUGAAAUAAAAAAUUCAAAUGUCAU
rnacentral:lncRNA from 1 species